CACUUUCCAUGGAAGAAUAUUGAAUUUCUUGACUUAAGCUCCAAUUUGAUCAGUGGAAAUCUUCCGAUUCCAGCUUCGACCAUCAAUGUCUUUUUGAUCUCAAAUAAUAGUUUCAAUGGAGAGGUCUCUUCUUUAAUAUGCAAUGCCAGUUCUCUUCGAAUUCUUGAUUUGUCCCACAAUAACUUGAGUGGAACAAUUCCGCAAUGUUUUGGAAAUUUGAGCAACAGCCUUGAAUUCUUGAAUCUGAAGAAGAACAUGUUUUAUGGGACGAUUCCUCCAACAUUUGCAAAGGGAUGCCAAUGGAGUAAUUUCAACUUAAAUGGAAAUUUGUUAGAAGGGCCUUUGACACCAUCCAUCCUUAAUUGUAAUGGUCUGGAAGUGCUAGAUCUUGGUAACAACAAGAUCAAUGAUACAUUUCCUCAUUGGUUGGGAAAUCUUCCAUAUUUGCAAGUUCUUGUAUUGAAGUUAAAUCAUAUGCAUGAUUCCUUGCGUGUCAAUAGCUCCAAGUCUAGCCCUUUUUUCUCUAAAAUCCAAAUUUUUGACCUCUCAAGUAAUUAUUUUACUGGACCCCUACCAGUGAGAUACAUCAACAGCUUCAAGGCUAUCAUAAAUCUAGAGAAGAUUGGGAGUACAUUGUUGUACAUGGGGGUGUAUGAUCGGAUUGCUAGUGGCUUCUAUACCUAUUCCAUUGGAAUUGUUAUGAAAGGACAAGAUAUGGAAUUGGUGAAAAUUUUCACCAUGUGGAUGAUCAUUGAUCUAUCAAACAAUCAGUUUGAAGGGGGUAUUCCAAAGGUUAUUGGGAAGCUUAACUUACUGAAAGGGCUCAACCUUUCUCAUAAUAACCUUAAUGGUGGUAUCCCCACCUCAACAGGGAAUUUGACAAGUCUUGAAUGGUUAUGUAGUUUUAGAUGUUAAGGAUAGGCUGUUAUAUGAAAGGUCGCGAUGUUUUAGAUUUGGAAGGUUUGAGAACAUGCGAAGCUCUAUGACACCACUAAGAUUAUUUGAGGAUAAGCUGAGGGAGGUAAGAUUGAGAAGUUGGAAUAUUGAAGAUGGAAGAGGACCUUCGAGUUUAUUAUUUUCUAGAUCUAAAUAUUCUAGUGAUUUGGUUUGGAAUUCUUUGAUAUGACGGAAGUGUUCCAUUGAGUAAAUUGUCAAAUAACACUAAAUAUAUUAGAUUCGGAACAGCGGUUACCUCAUCUGGAAUAGAACCUUCUAAAGAAUUUUCAGAUAUUUCCAAGUAUUCCAACUGCGUUAGGUUUAGAAUUGACAAUGGAAUUUGUCCACUCAAUUUGUUUGAUCCCAAGUCUAAAUGAGUGAGUUGCAAGAGGUUUCCAAGUGAUCUUGGACCGGUCCUGAUAAGUUGGAAUCGGAGAGAACUAAAAACUUCAAGGACACAAGAUUCCCCAUCGAGUCAGGCAAUCCUCCAAAAAAAUUUGCGCCUCUAAUAAUCAAGUACUCCAAAGAUGAUAAAUUUGUGAUUGAGGCAGACAAUCCUUGAAAGAAAGAAUUUCCUGAUAGGUCUAGGUACUUUAAGGCCUGUAGAUUAUCAACCGAAUCAAUGAAUUCUGUAGAGAAGGACAUCCACGACAGAUCCAAAUGUUCGAGAUUGCUGCUCCGAUUGAACUUCAAAGUAUCAAGGUUGAGGUUUUGGUUACGUCCCAAGUUGAGGAGAUUGAGGUUUGGCAAAUCAAAAAUGUUUUUUGGGAAUUUUCCUUGCAAAUCACAACCAGCAAGACUGAGAGACCUUAGAGAAGAGGAUAGAUUCAUGAACACAUGAGCAUUAACAGAAGACAUGUUGAUUCCAUCCAAAAACAGGUGUCUGACCUCGGUUAGGUUGUGAACAAGUCCCUCCAGAGCAUAUUUGUCAAUUGUUUGUUCACCAAACACAGAGGAGGAGAGAUCAAGUGAAACCAAUUUUGACAGGUGGGAGACUUGGGAUGGGACUUCUCCUGCAAACCAUGUAUAAGAAAGCUUGUAAACCGACCGAACUCGGACCUAUCUUCAAACAUAUUAAAUACCCAUUCACUUCAAUUCUACUAUUCUUAAAUCAUUAAAGUUUUGUGGAAAAUAUGCUUCUUGGAUAAAAAUUAUUCAACACACAUGCCUUGAAUUUUAUGCAAUAAAAUAAAUCAAUAUAGGCCACACAUGCUUUGAAUUUUUAAGUAGUCCACAAUUUUGUUCGUUUGUGUGCAAGAUUCUACAUUGCUUGACAGCCAUACAUACUAAGUAAAUAGACACCCACAUUGUUUACGUAUUAUGAGGAAGAAGAUUAAGUCAAUCUACUUUGUAAUCUCAUCAAUCUUAAUUUUCUCAGUUGUUUAGGGAGUUCAAAUGAAAUACAAAAUUUUGGAAAAAAAAUGUAUCCAAUUUUGUGAAUGAAAAAUAUAUGGUAAAAAGGAUUUGGUAUGGAUACUUCGGCCCGGGUAUCAAUACUCAGAGUAAGUUAAAGCAUCAGUGGAUGAAGAAGGAUCUGGUUGGUGCAAAUGAAGUUAAAGCAUUUGUGCUGUGUCUUCAUAAUUUCUUGUUUAGUAGUCUGUCAGAAAGUUUUUCCUAUGGUGAAAAGUUGCAUUGGUAUGUGUCUGUUUUUAUGAUUGUACCAAUUCCUCUGUAUUUCAUUGCAUUUCGUACUAUUUGUAAGGGUUUAGUUCGAGUGUAACAUCUUGUAUGGUGCAACUAUGUGUGUCUUCUUUCUUGAAUUUCAAUUUUUAGUAAACAUUGUACUGCUCACCAUAAAAAAGGAUACAUGUAGAAUUACAAAAGAUUCAAUUAUUCAAGUUUGAGUUGCAUUUAUAAAGACGUGGCGAUGAGAAUUCAUGAACGUAAGGUAUGGUUUGAGCCCUUUUGCCAUAUGCAUUUAUGUUGCAGAUGUUCAAAUAUUAAUUUAAGAGUAAUAUUUACAAUAGCAUUGCAGAGUAACAUAUUUAAGAUUGGAUUACACAGUCAAAAGAUUGCAGCAACGAUGAGAUUAAUACAAUUACAGGAAUUGGUAUCCUACAUGGCUUUUAGGCACGUAGCUUCAUUGACGAUGAGAUAAUUUUAGGAGGAAGCAACAGCAAGUGUGAAGUCAAUAGACAAUUGAUAGUCUUUAUUCUUUUGUGUGGAAAAUUAUUUGGGACCAAACUUAACGUGUUAUAAGGAAGAAGACUUUGUAAUCUCAUGAAUGUUAAUUAUUUUACUUCUUUGGUAAAAAAAAAGGAAUUAAUUUUAUGAAUGAAAAAUAUAUGGUAAAAAGGAAAUAGUUGUUGAUCACUAACAACAUGAUGAUUGUGGAAAUACAAAAAUUCCCAUAUAUGUGUUGAAUUCUGCAUAAUGUAAAUGUCCCGCAUUGCAUGUGAAUUCUGCAAUAGACCAAAUUUUACGUGUUAUAGUCCUUUAAACUGAGUUAAUGAAAAGUAAUCAUUCUUAUCAAAAUUAGUUAUACUCUUAAUUUAUAAUAAAAGAAAGAGUAAUUUGAGUUUAACUCAAAGGUUAAUAUGUCAUCAAUGGGCGAUGGCAUGGCGCUACCAUGUCAGCGAUUAUUUUCUUCUUUGAGUUAAGGUGAUUUCACCAAUUUUAGUUUACUUUUUAACUUCAAUUUAGGUUUAUGCUUAUUAGCUUCGAAGAUUCUAUGUGGGUGCCACAAUCAAAGGGUGAGUAAAAAGGGUUAAAAAUAAUUUUUUUUAAAAUAUUUUUAUUUUUAUUAAAAAUUUAGAAUUAGAAUUAGACAAAUUUUGUAAAUGUUAAGGGCUAACUUUAUUGAAUUUUUUUUUUCAGAAUUCGAACUAAAAUGACAAAUUUUGUAAAAAGCGCUAAAUUUGUUGAAUUUUUUAUAUUUAAGAUCAAAUUGAUAGAAUGUGUAAAUAUUAGAGGUUAAAUUCGUUAUUAGAUAAAAAAAAUCCACAUCAGCUUUCCGUCACUCAUCUAACGACAACUAAAGGGAGAGUGAUUAAAAUAUUUAAUUUCAAAAAGUUUAGCAACUAAUUGGAAAAUUUAAUAGUUGGGUGACUAUUUUUAUAGUUUACAACUUUUUUGGUCACAUGACUAUUAAGUGACACUUUUUAGUUGGUAUAAUAAUAAUUUUUAUCCUCAAUUUUUAUACUUUCUGUCAAUUUAACUCUAAUUAUAUAAAAUGAUUACAAAAGUGAAAUUCUUUUUAAAUUUUACAAAAUUCUAAAAAUUAAAAAUUAAAUGAAAGUAGAUAAAAAUUUCAAAUAUAAAUAAAGUGAGAGAAAAUGAGGGAAAUAUUAUUUUUAAACCCUCCAAAUUUUCUUUGUAUUAUUUGUAAAGAAAUAUCUAAUAUCCAUUCUUUUAGAAAACAUAGAAAAAAGUAAAAAAAAAAAAGAUUAAGUAAAAUUAUCUGUAUAUAAUCUGCUUUUAUAAUUUGGGUUUUUAAAAAUAAAUUUAAAUGAAUUGAAAAUUCGAAUUGAGUUUGAAAAAGAAAAUUUUGUGGUAUAUUUUAUAUUUUUGCUAGAAAAAUGGCAUCAAAGUUGAUUUUGUAAGCUUUUGUAAUAUAGUUACGGAUGUUCUUCAAGGGCAUGAAACUCAACUUGAAAAUUUUACUAAUUUGGUUGCAAAAAACAUUGAGGAAGCGUAUAAUGAUCUAACCUUUUUUUUGUUUUGUUCUGUUUUUAAUUUGUUAUGGGAUUCUAUUGAAUGAUAAUUUUUUUUAUUUCCCAUACAUAUUAGUUCUUCAACAACAACAUAUUCGAGAUUUUAUUUUUCUAGAAUUUUUAUAUAGAAGUUUAUAUUUUUUAAAAAUAAUUUUGAGUUUUUUUUAUAAUUUUUAUACAGAAGUUUAUAUUUUUUAAAUUGGCAAAAAAAAUUAUAAAAACAAAAUACUAGAAUUGUUAUUAUAGCAACUACAAAGUGUCAUUUAACAAUAGGGUGACCAAAUUGUAACUUUUUUCGUUAAGUGACCAAAACGAAGAUUUACCCAUAGUUCAGUGGCUAAUUAUGUAGUUUACCUUUUCAUAAUUAAAAAAUAGUUGUUAAGUUUUUCUUGUAUUAGAUAACAUUUUAGAUGGUAAAAACCCUCUUUAGUCCCUCUCAAUUUUGAUAUUAAGUAAAUUGGUCCAUUUUAAAAAAAAUUAAAGCAAUUUAAUCUUUGUUAAUUUCGAAAGUGAGCAACUAAGAACAAUUAAUCACAAUGUCAAUAUUUUCCAUCAAUUGUACAUAUUUUUAUUGGUAUAAUAACAAGUUUAUAAACUUGUUUACAUAUUCUGUCAAUUUGAUCUUGAUUUAACAAAUUUAUCCCGCAACAAUUACAUAUUCUAUUAACAUUUACAUAUAAUAUAUAAACAUCGAGAGCUUAUUUUGUUAUUAUAUCAAUAAAAAAUAUAUACAAUUUACAGAAAGUAUUAACACAAUGAUUAAUUGUUCUUAGUUGCUCCCAUUCAAAAUUGAUAAUGAUUAAAUUGCUCUAAUUUUCUGAGAGGAAUCAAUUUGUUCAAUAUAGAAAUUGAGAGGGACGAGAAAUGUGUUUUUAUCCAUUUUAGAUACCAACAAGUGUUUGGCGUAGUGGCAAAUCAUAUUACAUUCUCAAGGAGAUAAUGCGUAUUCAGACGUUGGAGAUAAUAAUGUUGUGUGCGGUAUCCACCGAUCUUGAACACGAAUUGUAAAACAUAUAUAAAGAAUAAAAAAAUAACAUCUUAAUUUAAAUAAUUAAUAAAUUUUAAUUUGAAAAAAUUAUUUUGAGAAACAUAAGUUUUAGUAAGUAGUAAAACUGAAUUAAUUUGAAUUUAAACUUAACGCAACUCGAUUUGAUUAUAAAGAAGUGAUAAUUUGAAUCCAAAAUGACAUGAUCUUAAAAUGAUUUGAAUUAAUUGUCAAACCCGAACGACAAAACUCGAAAUGAUGCAAUCCAAAAACGCUGGUUAAAAUGAUGCAAUCCAAUCGUAGUAAGUUUAACCUGCUGCUUUAGAUUUUGCAUUUUGGUUAAUUGGCUUGUGUUAUGUGUUUCUCUGGCAUCAGCCGAUAUGUGGAUUUGCCUCUCGUGAUGCACUACCAUUCAAGAAGCAUAAUGAUUUGUUCUACAUUGAUGACAAAGAUGUGGAGUUUAAAGAAGUAAGAACUGAUCAACAAUAUUCGAGGUUCUGUUGUAUGUUGCCUUAUUAAAUAAGUCUUCACUUAAAUUCCUAUGUUGCCUUAUGUAUGUAGGUUCUUGAGUCACCUUUACCAAAAGCACCACUUGAUACAUCUGUUACAUCCCACUGGCUUGCGAUUGAAGGCAUUCAACCAGCAAUUCCCGAAAAUGCUUCAAUUGAAGGUACCGUCUUAGCUAACCUAAAUAUUUUCUCGAAGCUAUUUGUGUUGAAUACUCUCAUGGUUCAUGUUCUUUUCUGGUUUUAUCACUUUAAUCUAAUACGACUUAUCUUCAUUUCUACAUGGAAUUGGUAGUUUGCUUUCCAUGCAGCACCUUCUGAUGGUAAAAAGGCUGAAUACAAAGAAGAUGGGCUUUCCGUUGAUGUCAAAUUACCUGUUAAGCAUGUAUUAUCUAGAGAGCUUCAAGUAUGUUGUACAUCUUCAGCAACAUUUUUAUGUUAAAAUACAUUUUGCACAGAAUGUUAUUAAAAGACUAAUUUGGUUGUCAUGCAGCUUUACUUUGACAAGAUCGUGGACAUUACCAUGAAUAAAUCAGUCUCAGUUCUCUUUAAACAAGCAUUACUGAGUUUGGCAACAGACUCGGGAUUACAUCCUUUAGUUCCUUAUUUUACAUAUUUCAUUGCGGAUGAGGUUGUCUUAAAGAUCUUUGAUACCUCAUUAUAUAUGUGUGUUGCAAAGAACUUUUGGUUGGUUAUCUCAAGCUUACAUUUUUGCCACAUUUAUCUCAGGUUGCACGGAAUUUGAAUAAUUUCCCUCUCAUGUUUGCUUUGAAGCGUAUUUGCAGCUUCUUGAACCUGAAAUAAAAAGACACGAGGCCUGGUGUGUUUAUGGGGCCCUGCUGGUAAGUUUAACAUCAAAUUUGGUACCAGUUUAUGAGCAUCGUUUCAUUUAUUUGCUGUAGAACUAACAACACUGCAUAAAAUUUCCACUAACAGCGUGCAGCUGGACUGUGCAUGUAUGAUCGGCUUAAAAUGUUCCCCAGUUUGCUAGCACCCCCAACUCGUCCCAUCUGGAAAAGCAACAACAAAGUUGCGACAAGUAUGAUUUCUUCGAACCAUCAUAUUUACACUUAAUCCACAAGUCUCUUCUCCCCCUUUACGAUAUUCCUUUUUCUGAUCAAUCAAGAUAAACGAAAAGCAAGCACGGACACCUUGAUGCAGCAGCAACCACCUGCCAAGAAAAUAGCAACUGAGAGUGCAAUAGGUAUGAUGCCGAUAAAUUCCACGCAAACUGAUUUACAAGGGGCAGUUAGCGGCUUUUCUACCACCGUAGGAGGUUCCAAUAUCGGUGUAUCAUCAAUGUCACGGCCGUUAUCAAACGAAAACAUGCUAGGAAGGGAGGUUGGGGGUCGAGUUUCAAAGACAUCAACCGUUCUAGCUCAGGCUUGGAAGGAAGACACAGACCCGGGGAACUUGUUAGCAUCAUUAUUUGAACUUUUUGGUGAAAGUAUGUUAUCAUUUACUCCCAAACCUGAGCUUUCAUUCUUCCUUUGAUUAAAUUUCACCUCCAAAAGCUAUGGUUUUUGAAGGAAUUUGUGUAAAUUAUCCCCAUAUUCUUUUCAUUCUUACUGUGUUUAUCUUUGUAAGUCUUCCUUUUUUCCUUGCUCAUAAAUGUAUUGUAGUUAUCAAAAAAUAUAUUCUACUUUGGAUUUUAUUUAUAUUAAAAUUUAGGUUAAAUUCUGCUAUUAGUCUCUGUACUUUACGAAAAUGAUGGAUUUAGUCCUUAUACCUUAAUUUGAUCAAUUUUAGUCAUUGUAUUUUUUGAAUUGGUCAAUUUUAAACCAUUUACUUUUUGAAUUUUGAAAUUUUAGUCUUGAUUCAAAUAAUAUUAAUAAUAAUUAAUACCUAAACAAUGCUCCUUUUCCCAAGGUACCUAAUUUUUAUUUUGGCCAUAAGUAUUACUAAAACUAUUCUUCCAUUACUCAUUUUACACCAAAAUGUUAUAUCGGCUAAAAAGAUUCCAACAAAUAAUAGAUUGUAUGUCAUAUAAGCUUUUAAAAAUAAUUAUUAAUUAAUUAAUUUUUUUAUAUUUUUCUUUCUUAUUCCUUUAUAAUGUUUGACAAUGCCGAUAAUGUUUGAAAUUGGCCCACUUGAGGUCGAAACGUUGGUGAUUAAUUUUGGUUUUGAAUUUCACCACCUACUUCUCUGACCUGAGGGAAACUAGUGUUUUCAAAAACAGAUUGAUUCAACUAGUUGGAUAGGAAAUCGGUCCGGAAAUAGGGGUUGAAUCGAUUGACUUGCGAACAAAAACAAAUCGGUUGAACUAGUUCUCUCCAUUUAUAUUUAUAUAAAUAAUAAUAGUUUUUUUUUACUACAUGUCAAUUUUUAAUUGGUUAAUUUUUUUUUUCAUAUAAACUGAACGGUUUGACUAAUGACGGAGGUACCAAAUUUUAGUCUAGGUACCAAUUUAUGGGUUAAGCCUAUUUCUAAAAUAGACUUUUGACUAAUGGCAGUAGUAACUUGGGAAAAAAAAGUAGUUUAUGUACCACUUGUGACAAAAAAUAAGUUUAGGUACCAACAUGGGAAAAUGAGUAUAAUUUAGAUACCGAUUUAUGAGUUAAGCCUAAUAUAUUUGUCGCAUCAUUUUUUGAAAAUAACAAAACUUAAUAAAUUUAACGGUUAUUGUUUGGUGAUGACUAAAAUUUUAAAAUUUGAAAAGUAGAUGAACUAAAAAUGACCAAAUUAAAGUAUAAAGAUUAAGUCCACAACUUUUGCAAAGUAUAAGGACUAAUAGCAGAAAUUAACCUAAAUUUCAUAUGGGUCAAUUACAAAAAUAAUCACUAAACUAUUCCUUUAGUUCUAUUCUAGUCACUCAACUAUAGAGGUGCUCAUGAGCCUGGCCAGGUCAGGCCUAAGCAUGAUAUUAAAGUACUUUAUGCUUGCUCAAGCUCGGCUCGGCCCAAAAUAUGAGCUUAAAAUUUUGCCUAAACUCAUCCAUAUUUGCAAAAGACUAACCCAAGCUCAUUUUAGGCAUGCCCAUAUAAUUUUUAGUUUUUUUUUUAAAUAUUUAUAUUAUAUUAUUUUAAUAUUUAAUAAUUUAAAUAUUUUUUAUUUAUUGAAAAUUUUUAUAUAGUCAUCUUAACAUUAUUUUAAUGUUUACAUUAUAGUAUUAUUAUAUAUUUAAUAUAAGUUUAUUUUUUUAAUCUGUUCUAAAUUAUAAAAUAUAAAGUAUUAUACACUUAAAAAUGGGCCGGGCUGGGCUCGAGCUUUGAAUGUUCAAGCCUAAACCCAGCUCAUAUUUUAAACGGGCCUAAUUUAUCACCCUUUGAUUUAUCAAAAUUUAUAACAAAUGAGAUUUUAGAUUUGAAUUAUGAGGCUAUAUAUAUAUAUAAGUAUACACAUUUUUAUGAAAUACAAAAUUUUGCUAAAACAAAAAGCAUAUAAAAGUAUACACGUUUUUAUGAAAUAAAAGAAAAAGCAUCCAAUUUUGAGAAUGAAAAAUAUAUGGUAAAAGCAUCCAUAACUUUUCAAUGUUAAAGAAAAAAAAGACUUAACACCAAUGUUGUGGUAUUAUUUGUUGCCUAUAAAUACCAUUCCUAUCCUUCAUCUUCCUCUACCAACAUAACAUGGCCCCCUGUCUCUUUCUCUGCCUAUUCCUCUUCUUUCCCCAUCUUUAUGCUUCUUUUUCUUCUUCAGGAUCUCACUCCUGCUCUUUACUAAUCCAGUUCAAGAACUCUUUUUCCAUAACAGAGGCUGCUUAUUCGUCUUGCGGCCCUAAAUCUUAUCCCAAGACAAAUUCAUGGAAGGAGGGUACAGAUUGCUGCUCAUGGGAUGGGGUCACUUGUGACCACCUAAAUGCUCAUGUUAUUGCCCUUGACUUGAGCUGCAGUUGCCUAUAUGGCACCUUCCCUUCCAAUACCACUCUCUUCCUUCUUCCUCACCUUCAAAAACUCAACCUUGCCGGCAAUGAUUUUAAUCUUUCCAAAAUUCCAUCCGAUUUCGGUCAGUUUACAAGCCUAUUCUACCUCAACCUUUCUUAUACAGGGUUUGUAGGAGAAGUCCCAUCCCAAGUCUCCCACCUGUCAAAAUUGGUUUUACUCGAUUUCUCCUCUUGGCCUGCUUUCUCUAUGCAAUAUAGAAUGGACAAACAUGCUCUGGAGGGACUUGUUCACAACCUAACCGAGGUCAGACAUCUGUUUUUGGAUGGAAUGGACAUGUCUUCUGUUAAUGCUCAUGUCUUCAUGAAUCUAUCCUCUUCUCUAAGGUCUCUCAGUCUUGCUGGUUGUGGUUUGCAAGGAAAAUUCCCAAAAAACAUUUUUGAUUUGCCAAACCUCAAUCUCCUCUACAUGGGAGGCAACCAAUUGAGUGGACAAAUUCCAAGAUCAUUGGGGAACCUCUUGCAGCUCACUCAAUUAGACUUAUCGGGGAUCCAAUUGAGUGGACAAAUUCCAUUAUCAAUUCUAAACCUAACGCAGCUUGAAUACUUAGGCUUAUCUGACAAUUUACUAACCUAAUAUAUUUAGGCUUAUCUGACAAUUUACUCAACGGAACACUUCCGUCAUGGUUGUAUACUGCUCCCUCCUUAAAGACAAUAUAUCUCUCUCAAAAUCAAUUCAGUGGGCAUAUCAAAGAAUUCCAAUCCAAAUCACUAGAACGGAUAUGGUUAGAGAAUAAUAAACUCCAAGGUCCUCUUCCAUCUUCAAUAUUCCAACUUCUCAAUCUUACAUCGCUUGCUUUAUCCUCAAAUAAUCUUAGUGGUGUCAUAGAGUUUAGCAUGUUCUCAAACCUUCCAAAUCUCAAAUAUCUCCACCUUUCAUGUAACAGCCUAUCCUUAACAUUUAAUACUACUUCUACUGUUAAUCUUACAGACUUAUUUUUGUCAUCUUGCAAUCUUAGUGAAUUCCCCAGUUUUUAAAAGGGCUGAAAAGUUUGGAAAGCUUAGACCUCUCUUGCAACAAUAUUGAAGGCAAGAUUCCACAGUGGAUGCAAGAGAUGGGGAAUGACUCUUUGACUUUCUUAAACGUAUCUCACAACUCUUUGACAGAAGUUGAGCACUUUCCAUGGAAGAAUAUUGAAUUUCUUGACUUAAGCUCCAAUUUGAUCCGUGGAAAUCUUCCGAUUCCAGCUUCGACAAUCAAUGUCUUUCUGAUCUCAAAUAAUAGAUUCAAUGGAGAGGUCUCUUCUUUAAUAUGCAAUGCCAGUUCUCUUCAAAUUCUUGAUUUGUCCCACAAUAACUUGAGUGGAACAAUUCCACAAUGUUUUGGAAAUUUGAGCAACAGCCUUGAAUUCUUGAAUCUGAAGAAGAACAAGUUUUAUGGGACGAUUCCUCCAACAUUUGCAGAGGGAUGCCAAUUGACUAAUUUCAACUUAAAUGGAAAUCUGUUAGAAGGGCCCUUGACACCAUCCAUCCUUAAUUGUAAGGGUCUGGAAGUGCUAGAUCUUGGUAACAACAAGAUCAAUGAUACAUUUCCUCAUUGGUUGGGAAGUCUUCCACAGCUACAAGUUCUUGUAUUGAAGUCAAAUCAUAUGCAUGGUCCCUUAUGUGUCAAUAGCUCCAAGUCUAGCCCUUUUUUCUCUAAAAUCCAAAUUUUUGACCUCUCAAAUAAUUAUUUUUCUGGACCCCUACCAGUGAGAUACAUCAACAGCUUCAAGGCUAUCAUAAAUCUAGAGAAGAUUGGGAGUACAAUGUCGUACAUGGGGAUGAAUGAUCCUCAAGGUGGCUUCUAUACCUCCAAAUGUGCUUGAAAAAGAUGGCCCAAAAUCAAACAUUACUUUUGGUUGGAAAGUGGUGUUGAUAGGUUAUGGAUGCGGAGUGGUGUUCGGAAUGUCCGUGGGAUAUGUUGUUUUCCAAACUGGUAAGCCGAAAUGGUUGGUGAAUUUGGUUGAAAUCCAACAUGAGAAGAAGUGAAGACGAAAGUCAAAGGAUGGCAGCCGCAGCAAUGGACGAAGAAGGAUCUAGUUAGUGGAAAUGGUGCUCAAGUGUUGAUGUUGUAUCUUCAUAAUUUCUUGUUUUGAAGUCUUUCAAUUUUUUUCCUAUGGUGAAAGGUUGCAUUGCCAUGCAUCUGUCUUUAUUAUUGUAACCAUUCAUCUAUAUUUCACUGCAUUAUGCAGUAUUAUGUCUUCUUUCAUGACUUUGAUUUUUGAGUCUCAAUAAUCUCUGCAUUCAAGAUUUUGUCAGCUUAUUAAUUGGUGGAUCAAUAAUCUUCAUGCUCAUCUCAUCAUCUUUUUCUCGAGUUAAACACAAUUUCUUCCGUGUGGAAAAUAAUUUGGCAUUCUGCAAAUUUCCACAAUGCUGGUAGAUUACCUUCGGUUGACAGCUAUACAUAUCAAGGAAGGAAACAAGACCAUGUCAAAAUUUUCAAAAAUUAGCCAUUGAUUUUGAACAGUUAAACUUUCGUAUUCUAUUGUUCAAAAUUGUAAAUUCUCGAAUAAUGUAAAUUAGUCCUAAAACUCAAGUUUUGAAAUCUUUACAAUUUAACCCCUUAUAGUUUCAAACUUUACUAUUUUAUGCUCAACUUUCUAAAUUUUCAUAUUUCAUGAUCAUAUAAUUUAGUUACUACAUCAAUAUUUCAGAUUUCACUACUCAAAUCCUUACUUCAAAUUUAUCAAAUUAAAUCAUUUUUCAAUUUGAAUGCAUUGAUGUGAAAUUGAGGGAGCACUAAACAAUGUUGAUGCGAGUUUAGGCAAAAUUGGUGGAUCCCAUCUCCUUAGUAAUUUCUUUAUGGAAGUAGCUGCUUUCACACUGCAAACUUGGAUAGUUUGUGGUGGACGAUGAUGAAUCAUUUCACAAUCAAACAUACCAUUUUUAAACACAAAAUUAAUGAUAUAUUGAAAUCAUUAUUGAAAUUGUAAUCAAAAUUAAUACAUGUUUUUUUUAUUAGCUUAAGGGCGUAAAAGCCCUUCAAAAUUUUUAAAAAAAAAAUUUAAGUCCCUCUUUUUUUUUUCUUUUUUUUUUACACUCAAUUGAGCACUUAAACUUUUAAAAUGUAUCAAAAAUAUCUUUACACUUCUUCAAAAAAAGCAAUUAAACCCCCCUUUUUUUUUCCACUCAAUUGGGUACUUGAACUUUCAUAAUGCAUAAAAAAAACCUUAAUUUUUUUUUCAAAGAAACAAUUAAGCCUCUAUUUUUUCCCCACUCAAUUUGGGUACUUGAACUUUCAUAAUGCAUCAAAAAGGCCUUAAAUUUUUUUCAAAAAAGCAAUUAAGCCCCUACUCUUAUUAAAAAUUAGAAAAAGAAUCAUAAAAAUAAUAAAUUUUAGAAAAAAAUUAUUAAAUUUUAAUAAAAAUUUAAAAACUUAUUAAAAAUUAGAAUUUUUUUAGAAAAAUAGUCAAAACUAAAAAAUUAUAAAAAUCAUAAAAAAAAUCCAUCAAAAGUCCUUUUAACAAUUAACUUUAAAUAUUGAUCGUUAAAGUUAACGACCUCUAGUUUUUUCAAUUAAAGUCAUUAUGUGUCGCAACUCAACAUGACAUAUAGCGAAAAUAGAUAAAAAAGUAAAAAUCAAUAAAAGUUAUAGAAAAAUUAUAAAAAAUUUCUUUUGGUACAAUAAUUUUUAUAAAAUUUUUUUUUACCAAAUUUAUAUUUCUUUACAAUUUGUAUAAUUUUCUUAUGACUUUAUAAAAUUUUAUAAUUUUUUAUAUUUCUAUAUAUUUUUUAAAUUUUUAAAUUUUUAUAAAAUUUUACAAUUUUUAUAUAUUUUUUAAUAAUUUUUAAUAUUUGAAUUUUUUAUUAAAAUUUAAUAAUAUUAUAGAUUUUAUUGAUUUUAAUUUUUUCUCUAAUUUUUAAUAAAAGUAGGGGCUUAAUUGCUUUUUUUGAAAAUGUUUGAGGGCCUUUUUGAUGUAUUUUGAAAGUUCAAGUUCCCAAAUGAGUGUUAAAAAAAAAAGAACAGGGGUUUAGUUGCUAUUUUUGAAAACGUUUCUUUUUGUACCCUUAAACCUCUUUUGUUUUUCUAAAUUUAAUUUAGAACCAACUUUGUGUAAAGAAAAUUUCCAGUCUGGUGGAAAAUACAAAUUUUUCCACAUCCAAUCUGGGUCUUUGUCGUGAUUUGUUGGUUGGCUAUGGCCUUGUUGUUGUUUCCACUGCCUCUGGUCUUUGUUUCUAAGUCAUAUGUGGCCUUGUUUGGUAGACCUUAGUUGCUAAGUUAAAGGGAGUGAAUAGAGCACCAUAAAAAAAAAUACAUGUAGAAUUACAAAAGAUUCAAUUAUUCAAGUUUGAGUUGCAUUUAUAAACACGUGAUGAUGAGAAUUCAUGAACAUAAGGUAUGGUUUGAGCCCUUUUGCCUUAUGCAUUUAUGUUGCAGAUGUUCAAACAUGGAAUAAUUCAACCUGCCUUUGUGUAUUCUUAAUUUUGUGCCAAACCUAAAUAUCUAUCGACAAAUUUAAGAGUCAUAUUUACAACAGCAUUGCAGAGUAACACAUUUAAGAUUCGAUUACACUGUCAAAAGAUUGCAGCAACGAUGAGAUUAAUCCAAUUACAGGAAUUAAUAUCCUAAAUGGCUUUUAGGUACGUAGCUUCAUUGACAACAUGAUAAUUGUGGAAAUACAAAAAUUCCCAUAUAUGUGUUGAAUUCUGCAUAAUGUAAAUGUCCCGCAUUGCAUGUGAAUUCUGCAAUAGACCAAACUUUACGUGUUAUAGUCCUUUAAACUGAGUUAAUAAAAAGUAACCAUUCUUAUCAAAAUUCGUUAUACUCUUAAUUUAUAACAAAAGAAAGAGUAAUUUGAGUUUAACUCAAAGGUUAAUAUGUCAUCAAUGGGCGAUGGCGUGGCGCUACCAUGUCAGCGAUUAUUUUCUUCUUUGAGUUGAGGUGAUUUCACCAAUUUUAGUUUACUUUUUUACUUCAAUUUAGGUUUCAGCUUAUUAGCUUCGAAGAUUCUAAGUGGGUGCCACAAUCAAAGGGUGAGUAAAAAGGGUUAAAAAAUGAUUUUUUUAAAAAUAUUUUUAUUUUUAUUAAAAAUUUAGAAUUUGAAUUAGACAAAUUUUGUAAAUGCUAAAGGCUUUAUUGAAUUUUUUUUUCAGAAUUCGAACUAAAAUGACAAAUUUUGUAAAAAGCGCUAAAUUUGUUUAAUUUUUAUAUUUAGGAUCAAAUUGAUUGAAUGUGUAAAUAUUAGAGGUUAAAUUUGUUAUUAGAUCAAUAAAAAAAAACCCACAUCAGCUUUCCGUCACUCAUCUAAUGAAAACUAAAGGGAGAGUGAUUAAAAUAUUUAAUUUCAAAAAUUUUAGCAACUAAAUUGGAAAAUUUAAUAGUUGGGUGACUAUUUUUGUAGUUUACAACUUUUUUGGUCACCUGACUAUUAAGUGACACUUUUUAGUUGGUAUAAUAAUAAUAAUUUUACUCCUCAAUUUUUUAUACUUUCUGUCAAUUUAACUCUGAUUAUAUAAAAUGAUUACAAAAGUAAAAUUCUUUUUAAAUUUUACAAAAUUCUAAAAAUUAAAAAUUAAAUGAAAGUAGAUAAAAAUUUCAAAUAUAAAUAAAGUGAGAGAAAAUGAGGAAAAUAUUAUUUUUAAACCCUCCAAAUUUUCUUUGCAUUAUCUGUAAAAAAAUAUCUAAUAUCCAUUCUUUUAGAAAAUAUAGAAAAAAAGUAAAAAAAGAUUAAGUAAAAUUAUCUGUAUAUAAUCUGCUUUUAUAAUUUGGGUUUUUAAUAAUAAAUUUAAAUGAAUUGAAAAUUCGAAUUGAGUUUGAAAAAGAAAAUUUUGUGGCAUGUUUUAUAUUUUUGCUUGAAAAAUGGCAUCAAAGUUGAUUUUGUAAGCUUUUGUAAUAUUAGUUACGGAUGUUCUUCAAGGGCAUGGAACUCAACUUGAAAAUUUUACUAAUUUGGUUGCAAAAAACAUUGAGGAAGCAUAUAAUGAUCUAACCUUUUUUUUUUUGUUUUGUUCUAUUUUUAAUUUGUUAUGAGAUUCUAUUGAAUGAUAAUUUUUUUUAUUUCCCAUUCAUAUUACUUCUUCAACAACAACAUAUUCGAGAUUUUAUUUUUCUAGAAUUUUUAUAUAGAAGUUUAUAUUUUUUAAAAAUAAUUUUGAGUUUUUUUAUAAUUUUUAUAUAGAAUCGAGGUAAAUUGGCAAAAAGAAUUAUAAACAUAGAAUACUAAAAUUGUUAUUAUAUUAACUAAAAAGUGUCAUUUAACAAUAGGGUGACCAAAUUGUAAUUUUUUUAGUUAAGUGACCAAAACGAAGAUUCACCCAUAGUUUAGUGGCUAAUUAUGUAGUUUACCCUUUCAUAAUUGAAAAAAUAGUUGUUAAGUUUUUUGUAUUAGAUAACAUUUUAGAUGGUGAAAACCCUCUUUAGUCCCUCUCAAUUUUGAUAUUAAGUAAAUUGGUCCAUUUUUAAAAAAAUCAAAGCAAUUCAAGGAGAAUGCAUAUUCAAGCGUUGGAGAUAACAAUGUUGUGUGGGGUAUCCACGGAUCUUGAACACGGACUAUAAAACAUAUAUAAAGAAUAAAAAAAUAACAUCUUAAUUUAAAUAAUUAAUAAAUUUUAAUUUGAAAAAAGUAUUUUGAGAAACAUAAGUUUUAGUAAGUAGUAAAAUUGAAUCGAUAAAAAUGUUCGGUAUAUCAGAAUCAUAAAAAUACAACCUAAUUAAUUUGAAUUUAAACUUAACUCAACUCGAUUUGAUUAUAAAAAACUGAUAAUUUGAAUCCAAAAUCACAUGAUCUUGAAAUGAUUUGAAUUAAUUGUCAAACCCGAACGACAAAACUCGAAAUGAUGCAAUCCAAAAACACAAAUCAAGUGAACUAAACUAUGAAAGAAAAAAAAAAAACCUUACACCGACUCAAAUCCAAAAUAAUUUAAUCCUAAAAUAACCCAAAUUUUAUAUAAUAUAAACUCGAAAUAACCCGAAAAUUUUUAAAUUAAAAUUGACCCGAGCCAAAUUCACACCACCUAAAAUCAAUCAUAACCACCUAAUUAAAAAGCAUGAAAUGAAAUGAUGUAAAGAGAAAAUCAGAGAAAACCAAAUAGAAAGUAACAAGCUUUUUUCAGAAUUGAAAACAAAUUCCGUACAUUCACGACAUGCAUAAAACAACAAUGGUUUAUAGAAUUUGAGUUUUAGUCCCUGUACUUUAAAAGUUAAUUUUUCUUAAUUUAAAAAUUUUAGUUUAAUUAUUUAUGAUGGUUGUAGUUUCCGUUAGCUUAUCAACAUGUUAAAUUACUAAAUUUUGACAGAAAAUACUUACGAGUUUAAUGAUUAUUGCGAGAUUUUUAAAUAAAAAAGUUCGAAAGACUUAAUUUCUAACCUUUUAAAUAUAGGGACUAAAAGCAUCUUUUAACUUUGAUAUUAUUAUUAUAAGCAGGGAUAAUGUCACCUUUGGCAUCUGUACUUUCAUAAAAUGUUUAGUGGUACAAGUACUUUGAAAAUAUAUAAUGUGGUACCUGAACUAUCAAUAUGUGUUAUUAUUAUGGUACAUGUACUUUGAAAAUGUUUAAUGUGGUACCUAAACUAUCAAUAGAUGUUUUAUUAUGAUACUUGGUAAAGACGGACUAUUAUGGUGGCUUAGGGGGCUCUUUGUCCCGUCUCCCCUGCAAAAAAAAAAAAAAGAGUUCGGAGAAUUUUAUUUUUUCCUUUGAAAUCUUUAGAAAAUUUCAAUUAAGCCCCCAAAAUUUUUGAAAAUUUUCAUUAUACCUUUUAAUUUUUUUUUGAAAAUUUUAAUUAAGCACUUUUAAAAUUUUGAAAAUUCUCAUUAAUCUCACAAAAAAUUUAAAAUUUUUUAUUAGACCCCCAAAAUUUUUUUUUUAAAAAUCUUAUUAAACCAUUAAAUUUUUAGAAAAUUUUACUUGCCCCCUCCCCCCCCCCCCCAAAAAAAAAAACCUAGUUCCAACUCCCAGUAUCCGCCAUUGGUACUUGGUAUUAACACUAUUAGAAAAUUGCUAAAUCAACUAAUGAAAAUUUGACACAUAGAACCCUUUUUUUUUUAAUUAUCAAGUCCACGUGGAUAAUAUAAUAGUGAAAAACUAAAUAAAACAAUAAUUAAAUGAAAUUAAAAAAACAAAUAACUAAACAUAUGGUUAAUAAAAAAAACCCGUACUUUCAAAGAUAAUAAAAAAUAUUAUUUAAAAAUCAAUUGAAAAUAUUAUUUUAAAGGGAAAACUCUUUGGAGAAGAUGAUCAUUUGCUUAAAUGGAGAAUAUAAUAUUUUUGGUUAUGUAAAUUUAAUUUAAUUGUUUUAUUUAGUUUUCACAUAAUGUUAUUUUAUACAUGUGGACUUGAUGAAUUAGAAAAAGAAAAAUUGCGUGUCAAAUUUUCAUUUGUUGGUCUAACAAUUCAUUAAUGGUGUUAACAUUAAGUACCAUAAUAAAACAUAUAUUGAUAGUUCAUGUACCACAUUAGACAUUUUCAAAGUACGAAUACUACAUUAGACAUUUUAUAAAAAAUACAUGUACUAUAAUAGAACACAUAUUAAUAAUUUAGAUACACAUUAAACAUUCUAUGAAAUUACCAUUACGAAAUGUGAUAUUAUCUCUUACAAGUAUUUGAUGAGUAGGUAUAUAAGGACAAGCAGAACCACAAUUCCAAUGACAGCUAAAGGCAUGCACAUACACGACAAUCCGCCAUUGAUGUGCUUGUUCAUAAUUACCAUGUUUUUCUGCACUCUCUGAUACAACAAAGAAAAGAAAACACAAUACAAAAUUAAAACUCUAAACAACCCAAAAUUUUUUCGGGCCAGAAAUGGUCCGAAAAUUUUAAGGGUAAACUAUAUUGGUAGCCACCUAACUAUUAAUAAAUUUCUUAGUUACUCAACUAUGAAAAGAUAUUUUUGUAUAUUUUCGAUGAAGAUUUGUUAUUUUUAUUUAUUAUUAAUAAACUUGUUCUUUUUAGUCCAUUUUUGUCAUUGUAGUAAUUUAUCAUCAAAUUUGGGAAAGAAUGCCCCAUUUCUAAUACAUGAUUAUCAUAUCAAAUUGUAGUUAUUCCUAUCUAGUAAUAAACUAACCCCAAUUUAGUCUGAAAGUAGUUAAAUCACUUAAGUUUGUUGCUUAGUUUUGUUGAUAUGGACAAUUAAAAAAAUCAUAAUAUAUAUUUCCAACAAAUAUUUUCGAUAAGAUAAACUCAAAAGUAAUUCUCAAAAUUGUAGAGAAUUUUAUUACUGGAGUGAAAAAAACAUUACGAAUCAGUAAAAUAAAGUAUCGUGAAGAAAUGAUAGAGAGGAAAAUUGAAACAAACCUUGAAAAAUAAGUGUGGUUGUAAGUAAGAUGCUGGAAGCAAUAGAGGGCUGAGAAAAGUGAGAGCUACAAUGAUUGUCGUGAUUGUAGAAAGAAACGUACAGAGAGAAUUGUUAGAAUACUCAAGUUUAUGGAGAGAAUUGAGAGGGUUUAGUGUUCCCAAAAAGAAGAAGGAAAAACACAUAUAUCAUAAUGAGGUUACACUCACGUCUUAUUUAUGGUAAGCAAAGCAUUACUUAUAUGGUUUCUGUUUAACGAGAAAGGGAAGAACUUGUAUUAGAGGAAAGUGUUAAGAAGUGUCUUCUUAACAAUGUCUGUGUUUUGAGCUUCCAAGAUAUGCACUUAAGGCAUCUCAAUAGAGGAGCAAUUCAAUAAUUAUACCAAUCUUUCGGGACUAACUCUACAACCUUUGCAUAGUUGCAAUCCAAGAAUCCUGCAACCUUCUAAGGCUAGCUACACAACAUUUACGUAUUUGCAUGUAUUUUUUUUUCCAUAACACCAACUCCAACAACUUCACUUUUAUUUAUCGAAAGAAAUUGUAUUUCUUGAAACUAUUAUUUACAAAAUAUUAUUAACCAAAAUCAAGUAUCCACAAUAAUUAAUACUAAUUAAUUCAAAGAUUUUCAAUGCUAAGAAUGGAACCCAAAUUCAGCCUUUGCUACUAACCUACUAAUAAACAAAAAAAAAAUAUAUAUAUAAUAUAUAUAGGUGAAGUUAGAAAGUUUAAAAUUGAAUUAUAAAUUUUUAAAAGAGUAAAAGUUGUUAUACUAACUUAAAAUUUUAUAACUUUUUAAUUUUGUGGAGCUAAAAUCUUUGCCUAUCCUCUAACAGUGCUCAGUAUUUCUCUCAUAAUUUUUUAUUUUUUAUUAUUCUUUUUCCUUUUUAGUUGAAAAUAGUGCUAAUUAAUGUUAUUUGUUAGUAUAAUUUUGUUAGAAUCUUAUGAAUCUUUCAUGAUGUACUAUAUCUUGAUUUGUUAGGCUAAUGUGAUAAUUUCUACUUCAUGUGUAUUAAUCCAUAAAUUUUAUCAAAAGUGGAAUUUUGAAAACUUAGUUUUGGAAGUUUGAAUAUUAAGUUUAACCUCCUGCUUUAGAUUUUGCAUUUUGGUUAAUUGGCUUGUGUUAUGUGUUUCUCUGGCAUCAGCCGAUAUGUGGAUUUGCCUCUCGUGAUGCACUACGAUUCAAGAAAGCCGCUGGGCAUAAGGAUUUGUUCUACAUUGAUGACAAAGAUGUGGAGUUUAAAGAAGUAAGAACUUAUCAACAAUAUUCGAGGUUCUGUUGUAUGUUGCCUUAUUAAAGAAGUCUUCACUUAAAUUCUUCUAUGUUGCCUUACGUAUGUAGGUUCUUGAGUCACCUUUGCCAAAAGCACCACAUGAUACAUCUGUUACAUCCCACUGGCUUGUGAUUGAAGGCAUUCAACCAGCAAUUCCAGAAAAUGCUUCAAUUGAAGGUACCGUCUUAGCUAACCUAAAUAUUCUCUCGAAGCUAUUUGUGUUGAAGACUCUCAUGGUUCAUGUUCUUUUCUGGUUUUAUCACUUUAAUCUAAUACGAUUAUCUUCAAUUCUACAUGGAAUUGGUUCUGAUGGUAAAAAGGCUGAAUACAAAGAAGAUGGGCUUUCCGUUGAUGUCAAAUUACCUGUUAAGCAUGUAUCAUCUAGAGAGCUUCAAGUAUGUUGUACAUCUUCAGCAACAUUUUUAUGUUAAAAUACAUUUUGCACAGAAUGAUAUUAAAAGACUAAUUUGGUUGUCAUGCAGCUUUACUUUGACAAGAUCGUGGACAUUACCAUGAAUAAAUCAGUCUCAGUUCUCUUUAAACAAGCAUUACUGAGUUUGGCAACAGACUCGGGAUUACAUCCUUUAGUUCCUUAUUUUACAUAUUUCAUUGCGGAUGAGGUUGUCUUAAAGAUCUUUGAUACCUCAUUAUAUAUGUGUGUUGCAAAGAACUUUUGGUUGGUUAUUUCAAGCUUACAUUUUUGCCACAUUUAACUCAGGUUGCACGGAAUUUGAAUAAUUUCCCUCUCAUGCUUGCUUUGAUGCGUGUUGCCCGGAGUCUUCUCCAGAAUGAACACUUACACAUAGAACCUUACGUGAGUUUAUUAUUUCAAUCAUUUAGAAGUACACGAACUAAUGCAAAUAUGCUAGUGGUUUAUUUUCCACCUAUCUGAUUUUUUAAAAUGUUCUUCAGUUACACCAGUUGAUGCCUUCUAUUAUUACCUGCCUCGUUGCAAAAAGGUUAGGAAAUAAAUUCACCGACAAUCAUUGGGAACUUAGAAACUUCGCAGCAAAGCUAGUGGCAUCAUUAUGCAAAAGGUGAAGAUUUCUUUUCUUUUGGACUUAUACAUGCAUUUUCGUUUUUAUGAAUUUCAGGUGUCUGAUUUUUGAGUUAUAAACUUGGAUCUAUUCUUCAAAUCAUGUGUAUAUCACUUUUAUGUUAUUUCACACAUGCAAAACAUAUGGUGCAAAUGAUGUUGAAGAAUUAGUGUUGUAUUUUCAUAAUUUCUUGGUCUGUAGACCGUUUUGCCUAUGGUGAAGGGUUGCAUUGGUAUGUGUCUGUCUUUAUUAUUGUACCAAUUCCUCUGUCUUUCAUUGCAUUUCGUACUAUCUGUAAUGUCUUCUUUCAUGACUUUCAAUUUAGUCUCGAUAAUCUUUGCUACUACUCAGUAAAGGAGAAAGGAGAACAAAAUGGCUCAAUGAUCUGUGUUGUAUUUUCAUAAUUUAUUUACAAGUUAGCAGUAAAAGGUUUGGUUAUAUGGAGAAAUAAUGUAUAGCAGAGUUGAAGGAAUGAUAUAAUGAAUUGAAACAUGGAACAAUGCAGACUGUAAAAGGGUACAUAUAGGUUGCUUUAAUUCCAAAAAUGGAAAUAGUAAUAUUCACUCCAAUUUAACCAAAAUAAACUUAUCAGAAUUCCAAGGUAACAAAACUGAUUAAUAUAAUAUACAGAAAUUAAUCAUAUAAAAAUUUAUAUUAUUACUUGAUAAUAUGAAUGACCAGUAUAAUAUAAAAGUAAGACAUGUUUUCUUUUCUUUUUCUAAAUUUAAUUUAGAACCAACUUUGAGUAAAGACUUGGGAAAUUGAAUUAGCAAAAUUUCUUUCCAUGUAGUUUUUUCUCCUAUUUCUUGUUUGAAUUUAGAGCAAUACAAAAUUUUGUGGCAAGUAAUAGAAAAUGACAGUCAAUUCAUUCCAAACAAUACAAAAUUUGCAGUGGAAUUCAUAUCUUUUAGGUAGCUUCAUUGAGGGCAUAAACAAGUUAGAAUUUGCAGUCUUAAUUUGUGUGGAAUUGAUAUGAAUGUAGUGGAUGCUGCAAAUUGUUGUUGAUUUGUGUGGAAUGACUGGACAUUCUUCUGCAAUUGUUAGAAAUUGGUGUUAUUAUUAUGGAGUUCAAAGGUUAAUAUUUGAUGCUUGCAGAUUUGAGGUGGAAUGUAGAUGAACUGAAGGCUGUUUUAACUUUUGUCUUAUAAGCUAUAUAUAAACAAAUAUUAUUUUAUCUUUUGCUUAUGAAAUGUUGAAAUAGUAAGUUUAUAUUCCUUGAUUAAUAAAAAGUGAGAUGGAGAUAGUCAAACCUCAAUUUCCACAUUGAAAUUGAAUCCAACCAUUCAUUGGUGGAUCGCAUAUCUUGUAUUUUGUCAAGUUAAAAGGGAGUGAAUAGAGCACCAUUUUCUUCUUCUGCGUGGAAAAUAAGUUGGCACUAUGCCAAAUUCCACAUUCAAACAUAUAAAGGAAGCAAGACCAAGUCAAUAUCAUCAACUCUAAUUAUUUCACUUCUUUCUUUAGGGAGUUCAAAUGGUGGCCCGGAAGGAGCGAAAAUGUCACCUAGAAAGAGGGUAUCACAUAUCAAAGCACGAAAGUCGUAAUAACAAUGUUAAAAACAAGGAAGAUUGAGCCAUCAACAGUGUUAUUGUGAAACCGGUCAUAAGUUAUCGCAAUACCCAAAACUCCCAAGUAUCCCCACGACUGUUGUGAAUAUCACGAUACCAAACUUUGGGUAUCACAAUAUCAUUGAUGAGAGGAGACAAAAUAUAACAGUAGGGGUAAUCCUUUUCCAACAUGUCCCCUAACCAAAAUUAGAUGAUCAAGGACAAUUUGGUCACUAUUUUUGGAUCUGUAAUUUGCUAGAAAGGGCAAAAAAUUGGCUGAACAAAAGGCAACACUUAACAUUUCAUGGUUUUCAAUUUUUCUCUUUAUUUUUAGAGUUUUAGUUUUCUUCUCCAUAACUCUAGGGUUUAAUUCAUGUUUUCUUUGAGUUUUUCUUGGUUCCAAUAAUAGUAGUUAGUUAAGUUAAUUAUCACUGUAGCUAGGAUUUAUUGGCUCGUUUAGUACCUUUAACUCUUUGUAUUUUCAGCUUAAUCCUUGGUUUUAAUAUAAAUAAAUUCCCUUCAUCAUUAAAAAUCUAUUUUUAGGGUUUUUUUUUACAUUUCCUUUGCUACCAUUGUAAUUGUUUUCAAGCUUUUCUCAUUUUUCUCAUGUUUUCUAGUUAUGCCUAUUUUGUGUGAUUGUUGUAUUUUUGUUUGUUUAAAUAUGAUUAUGGGUAACUAAAUCUGAAGUGAAAUUUGGCAUUAUGAAAAUGUCCAACAUUGCUUGUGGAUUAAUUCAUUAAUCCAUGUGUAUGUUUUAUUUAUUCAAAUGAUUAAUAGCUAACUUGAUCCUUAAAUUAUAGUUCAAAAAGUAUUUUUUAUAUUUUUAAAUUUUCAUAAAAAUAAUUGUAACAAAAUUUAAAAAUCUGAAAAUAAAUAAAAAUUUUAUAUAAAAAAUCAAUUGGUGCAAGAAAAAAAAAUUUCCAACUACUUUUUCCACAUCCAAUCUCAUAAAUAAUCAGUCUUUGAACUUUCACAAAAAAAUAUUAAAUACCCAUUUACUUUAAUUCUGCUCGUUUUUCAUUUGCUUUAUUGAUUUAUGCUCUCUUCAUAUUAUCUUUCUUUGCCUUUUUUUUUUCUUCCUUUUUCAUGUAGAUCUGCGUCGACUCUACUAUUCUUGGAUCAUUAUAAAUAUAAUAUAUGUUUUAUUUAUAGCUGAAAGUAAAACAUUGAGUUGAAAUUUGGCAAAAAAAAAAAACUGUGGGUUUGGAGAAGAAGAAGGGCACUUCAUAUUUAAAUUUAAAAAAUUUAAAAUUCCAAAAUCGAAAGUUAGUCAAAACCCUAAACAAUCUAAUAAUUGGGGUUGUAGAAAAGAAAUAUGGUUUUAGAAAUAAAUAAAACAAAAUAAAUUUGCAAAACAAUUUCUAGGCAAAACAGCAUUAAAUUAAGGAUUAAAAUAAUUUUUUUUUUAUAAAGCUUAGAGUGAAAUGAGUUUUUGGGAAACUGAAAAAAAAGUGAAAUGGGGAUGUUUGUACUAAUACACAUGGCAUUAUUGGACAGUAGACAAUAACUAAAAUGUUGCGUUAAUUUGUUUAUUGGACAAUCUUCUGCAAUGCUUAGAAAAUUUUAAUAUAUGUUUUAUUUUUAAAAUUUUAAAAUUUAAAAAUCAAUUAAUUGUUUGUAUGAUAUCGAUAUAUAUGUCUCGUCAAUAAAGUUAACAAAUGUUAAUUUUUUAAUCCAUUUUGGGAUGAUUAAAGAAGAAGAUGCAGUUUACCGGAUAGUUUUCUGGCAGCCAUACAUACUAAGUGAAUAGACACUCACAUUCUUUACGUAUUAUAAGGAAGAAGACUAAGUCAAUCUAUUUUGUAAUCUCAUCAAUGUUAAUUUUCUCAGUUGUUUAGGGAGUUCAAAUGAAAUACAAAAUUUUGGUAAAACAAUGUAUCCAAUUUUGGGAAUGAAAAAGAUAUGGUAAAAAGGAAGUGGUUGUUGAUGAGUAUUGAAAAAUAUAGGUUUUCAAUGUCAGCAUUUCAAACUCUUCCAAUAACAAUCUUUAUACCAUAAAAGAAACAACACUGUAACAGUGGUGUUGUGGUAUUAAUCAUCAGAUCUUUUGUUUAAUAUUGGAUUUUAUUUGUUGCCUAUAAAUACCAUUCCUAUCCUUCAUCUUCCUCUACAAACAUAACAUGGCCUCCUCUCUCUCUCUGCCUAUUCCUCUUCUUUCCCCAUCUUUAUGCUUCUUCUUCAGGAUCUCACUCCUGCUCUCACCUCGAAGCUGCUUCUCUAAUCCACUUCAAGAAUUCAUUUUCGAUCACUCAGACCGACCAUGCUGCUUUGUAUUGCGAUGAUUUUGCUAGCCUUAAAUCUUAUCCCAAGACAAAUUCAUGGAAGGAGGGUACAGAUUGCUGCUCAUGGGAUGGGGUCACUUGUGACCACCUAAAUGCUCAUGUUAUUGCCCUUGACUUGAGCUGCAGUUGGCUAUAUGGCACCUUCCCAUCCAAUACCACUCUCUUCCUUCUUCCUCACCUUCAAAAACUCAACCUUUCCUUCGAUGAUUUCAAUGAUUCCAAAACUCCAUCCGAGUUCGGUCGGUUUACAAGCGUAUUCUACCUCAACCUUUCUUAUACAUGGUUAAUUUGCUGGAGAAGUCCCAUCCCAAGUCUUCCACCUGUCAAAAUUGGUUUCACUUGAUCUCUCCUGUUGGGCUAAUGAACAAACAAUUGACAAACAUGCUGUGGAGGGACUUGUUCACAACCUAACCGAGGUCAGACAUCUGUUUUUGGAUGAAAUCAACAUGUCUUCUAUUAAUCCUCAUGUCUUCACGAAUCUAUCCUCUUCUCUAAGGUCUCUCAGUCUUUCUGGUUGAGAUUUGCAAGGAAAAUUCCCAAAAAAACAUUUUGAUUUGCCAAACCUCAAUUUCCUCAACUUGGGAGGCAACCAAAACCUGAAUCUUGAUCUUUUGAAGUUCAGCCGGAGCAGCAAUCUUGAACAUUUGGGUCUGUCGUGGAUAUCCUUCUCCACCGAAUUGAUUGAUUCAGUUGGUAAUCUACAGGCCUUAAAGUACUUAGAUCUAUCAGGCAAUUCUUUCUUUCAAAGAUUCUCUGUCUCAAUCACAAAUUUAUCAUCGUUAGAGUACUUGAUUAUUUCAGAAGCAAAUAUGUGUGGAGGAUUGCCUGACUCGAUGGGGAAUCUUGAAUCCUUGAAGUUUUUAGACUUGUCAUCGAACGAAUUGAGUGGACAAAUUCCAUUGUCAAUUCUAAACCUAACGCAACUUGAAUACUUGGAAAUAGCUAGAAAUUCAUUAGAAGGUUCCAUUCCAGAUGAAGUAACCGCUUUUCCUGAUCUAAUAUCUUUAAUCUUAAUUGAAAAUCUACUCAAUGGAAGAAUAUUGCAUUUCUUGACUUAAGCUCCAAUUUGAUCUGUGGAAAUCUUCCGAUUCCAGCUUCGACGAUCAGAGUCUUUCUGAUCUCAAAUAAUAGUUUCAAUGGAGAGGUCUCUUCUUUAAUAAGCAAUGCCAGUUCUCUUCGAAUUCUUGAUUUGUCCCACAAUAACUUGAGUGGAACAAUUCUGCAGUGUUUUGGAGAUUUGAGCAACUACCUUGAAUUCUUGAAUCUGAAUAAGAACAAGUUUUAUGGGACGAUUCCUCCAACAUUUGCAAAGGGAUGCCAAUUGAGUAAUUU
rnacentral:lncRNA from 1 species